CUGAAGAGAGGAGAGCCCUAGGGUCAGCCAGAGGGCAAGAAUGUGGCUCCAGGGGCUGGGGUGCCCAUUUUGCAGCCCCCCCUCUCCACUCUCCGUGUUUCAGACUGGGUUGGUGUCUUCCCUGACACCCUCCAGGCAGGUUGUUUCUAUUUUAGGUGACCAUCAGCUGGCAUUUGCCCUUCUCCUGGAGGCUCAGGCCAGACAAAUGCUCUGCGGGCUAUUUUUGGCUUCAUACCAUAAUUGUAUGUGAUCCUAAAUUCCCUGUGGGUCUGAGUGCCUGAGGGGCUGUGCAGGGAGAGGGAGGGGCAGCUUCUGGAAUAAACCCAGGGAUUUAAGGAUGACCGGGACUCCAUAGAGCAGUAAGAGAGUUGGCACACACAGCUGCAGGGACAGGAUUAAAAAGACAUUUAUGCUUCAGCAGCACCAUUAUGGAACUUAAAUCCAGAGUGGGAGUUGCUCAGUCAGGGAAAAAAGUUGCUUCCUGCCCCUGAUUCUGCAACUGGGAGCACUUUAAGAUGUUCUCCUGCCCCGAUUCUGCAGUUGGGAGCAGUUUAGGAUGUUUUCCUUCCCCUAAUACUGCAACUGGGAGCAGUUUAGGAUGUUUUCCUGCCCCUGAUGCUGCAAGUGGGAGCAGUUUAGGAUGUUUUCCUUCAAGCUGGCAGUGGCUAUCUGUGCAAUUUUGAGGACUCAAACCCACAGUUUGAGAAAACUGACUUCCAGUUUAGCAUUGGAGUGGUUUUCCAGUACAACCACCACUCAGUCUGACCCAGGGUCAAAUGCUUCUAUGCAUUUGAUACCUUCCAGUGGCUGUAUUUCCUAUAAUCCUUUGUGCAGCCUCCUGAAGUUCCCAAGAAGGUGCAUUGCACAGAUUAGUGUAAAGUUUUGAGGGAAUUUAAACCUUUGGACAAAAACUAUAAAGAGCUGAGUGCCAUCUGCACAGUCCUCUGCCUUUUCCCCCACCUCAGAUGGGUGCCCCACAGUAGAAAAGGUCUUAAGUGUAGGAUGACAUUUCUUCUGACCUCAAGCAGAGCUCUGGUCUUUCAGCCUGGAGAAGACUCCAGACCUUAGAGCCCCUCCCAGUGCCUAAAGGGGCUCCAAGAGAGCUGGAGAGAGACUUUGGACAAGGGCUUGGA